GUUGACCUCGAAUCAGGUAGGACUACCCGCUGAACUUAAGCAUAUCAAUAAGCGGA
rnacentral:rRNA from 8 species